rnacentral:lncRNA from 1 species
CAGGCUUUGGGUCGGGCGUGGGCUUGGGGUCAGGCUUUGGCGCCGGUCUAGGGUCGGGCUGCGGGUCUGGUUUGGGGUCGGGUUUGGGUGCUGGGUCAGGUUUCGGCGCCGGUUUGGGGUCGGGCUUGGGUGCUGGGUCAGGUUUCGGCACCGGUUUUGGGUCUGGUUUUGGGUCAGGUUUUGGCGCGAGUUUAGGGUCGGGCUUGGGUGUCGGGUCAGGUUUCGGCGCGAGUUUAGGGUCGGUCUGCGGGUCUGGUUUGGGGUCAGGCUGUGGCGUAGGCUUCGGCUCUAGGCUGGGCUCAUGUUUCAGCUCCGGCGCCCUCCCAGCGACGGCGAGGCUAGCAACAUUUGCCGCGACGAGG